rnacentral:rRNA from 1 species
UACGUAGGGCGCAAGCGUUGUCCGGAAUUAUUGGGCGUAAAGAGCUCGUAGGCGGUUUGUCGCGUCUGCCGUGAAAGUCCGGGGCUCAACUCCGGAUCUGCGGUGGGUACGGGCAGACUAGAGUGCAGUAGGGGAGACUGGAAUUCCUGGUGUAGCGGUGAAAUGCGCAGAUAUCAGGAGGAACACCGAUGGCGAAGGCAGGUCUCUGGGCAUUAACUGACGCUGAGGAGCGGAAAGCAUGGGGAGCGAACAGG